rnacentral:rRNA from 1 species
CCUACGGGUGGCAGCAGUGAGGAAUAUUGGUCAAUGGACGAGAGUCUGAACCAGCCAAGUAGCGUGAAGGAUGACUGCCCUAUGGGUUGUAAACUUCUUUUAUAAAGGAAUAAAACGAGGCACGUGUGCCUUUUUGCAUGUCCUUUAUGAAUAAGGAUCGGCGAACUCCGUGCCAGCAGCCGCGGUAAUACGGAGGAUCCCAUCUUUAUCCGGAUUAUUUGGGUUUAAAGGAGGCUAAGAUGGGUGGUUAAGGCAGUUGUGAACGUUCGCGGCGUAACCGUAAAAUUGCAAUGGAUACUGGCAGUCUGGAGUACAGUUGAGGUAGGCGGAAUGCGUGGUGUAGCGGUGAAAUGCUUAGAUAUCACGCAGAACCCCGAUUGCGAAGGCAGCUUACUAAACUGUGACUGACAUUGAUGCACGAAAGUGUGGGUAUCAAACAGGAUUAGAUACCCCUGUAGUC